rnacentral:rRNA from 1 species
UACGUAGGGUGCAAGCGUUGUCCGGAAUUAUUGGGCGUAAAGAGCUCGUAGGCGGUUUGUCGCGUCGAAUGUGAAAACCCGGGGCUCAACUCCGGGCCUGCAUUCGAUACGGGCAGACUAGAGUUCGGUAGGGGAGACUGGAAUUCCUGGUGUAGCGGUGAAAUGCGCAGAUAUCAGGAGGAACACCGGUGGCGAAGGCGGGUCUCUGGGCCGAUACUGACGCUGAGGAGCGAAGGCGUGGGGAGCGAACAGG